UAUGAGUUUGAAACACCGGUUCCCAUACGAUAACCAAAGUUAAGCAAGGUCAAUCCUGCUCAGUACCUAGAUGGGUAACUGUUUGUGAAUACCAGUUGUUGUAAG